GAUGAACGUUGGCGGCGUGGAUUAGGCAUGCAAGUCGCGCGAUAAGAGUAGCAAUACUUGGACAGCGGCGAAAGGGAGAGUAAUACAUAGGUACGUACCCUUGGGACUGGGAUAGCGGCGGGAAACUGCCGGUAAUACCAGAUGACGUUUCCGAACCAAAGGUGUGAAUCCGCCUGAGGAGCGGCCUAUGUCCUAUUAGCUUGUUGGUGGGGUAACGGCCUACCAAGGCAAAGAUGGGUANGGGGUGUGAGAGCAUCGCCCCC
rnacentral:rRNA from 1 species